rnacentral:rRNA from 1 species
CCUACGGGGGGCAGCAGUAGGGAAUCUUCCACAAUGGGCGAAAGCCUGAUGGAGCAACGCCGCGUGGGUGAAGAAGGUCUUCGGAUCGUAAAACCCUGUUGUUAGAGAAGAAAGUGCGUGAGAGUAACUGUUCACGUUUCGACGGUAUCUAACCAGAAAGCCACGGCUAACUACGUGCCAGCAGCCGCGGUAAUACGUAGGUGGCAAGCGUUAUCCGGAUUUAUGGGGCGUAAAGGGAACGCAGGCGGUCUUUUAAGUCUGAUGUUAAAGCCUUCGGCUUAACCGGAGUAGUGCAUUGGAAACUGGGAGACUUGAGUGCAGAAGAGGAGAGUGGAACUCCAUGUGUAGCGGUGAAAUGCGGAGAUAUAUGGAAGAACACCAGUGGCGAAAGCGGCUCUCUGGUCUGUAACUGACGCUGAGGUUCGAAAGCGUGGGUAGCAAACAGGAUUAGAUACCCCAGUAGUC